GCAGUCGACGAGACUUCGGGUCUAGUGGCGCACGGGUGCGUAACGCGUGGGAAUCUGCCCUUAGGUACGGAAUAACAGUGAGAAAUUACUGCUAAUACCGUAUGAUGUCGAGAGACCAAAGAUUUAUCGCCUAGGGAUGAGCCCGCGUAGGAUUAGCUAGUUGGUGGGGUAAAGGCCUACCAAGGCUACGAUCCUUAGCUGGUCUGAGAGGAUGAUCAGCCACACUGGGACUGAGACACGGCCCAGACUCCUACGGGAGGCAGCAGUGGGGAAUAUUGGACAAUGGGCGAAAGCCUGAUCCAGCAAUGCCGCGUGAGUGAAGAAGGCCUUCGGGUUGUAAAGCUCUUUUACCCGGGAAGAUAAUGACUGUACCGGGAGAAUAAGCUCCGGCUAACUCCGUGCCAGCAGCCGCGGUAAUACGGAGGGAGCUAGCGUUGUUCGGAAUUACUGGGCGUAAAGCGUACGUAGGCGGCUUUGUAAGUCAGAGGUGAAAGCCCACGACUCAAUCGUGGAACUGCCUUUGAGACUGCUUCGCUUGAAGAUGGGAGAGGUUAGUGGAAUUCCGAGUGUAGAGGUGAAAUUCGUAGAUAUUCGGAAGAACACCAGUGGCGAAGGCGGCUAACUGGACCAUUCUUGACGCUGAGGUACGAAAGCGUGGGGAGCAAACAGGAUUAGAUACCCCUGGUA
rnacentral:rRNA from 1 species